rnacentral:rRNA from 1 species
GACGAACGCUGGCGGCGUGCUUAACACAUGCAAGUCGAACGGAAAGGCCCUGCUUUUGUGGGGUGCUCGAGUGGCGAACGGGUGAGUAACACGUGAGUAACCUGCCCUUGACUUUGGGAUAACUUCAGGAAACUGGGGCUAAUACCGGAUAGGAGCUCCUGCUGCAUGGUGGGGGUUGGAAAGUUUCGGCGGUUGGGGAUGGACUCGCGGCUUAUCAGCUUGUUGGUGGGGUAGUGGCUUACCAAGGCUUUGACGGGUAGCCGGCCUGAGAGGGUGACCGGCCACAUUGGGACGGAGAGACGGCCCAGACUCCUACGGGAGGCAGCAGUGGGGAAUAUUGCACAAUGGGCGGAAGCCUGAUGCAGCAACGCCGCGUGCGGGAUGACGGCCUUCGGGUUGUAAACCGCUUUCGCCUGUGACGAAGCGUGAGUGACGGUAAUGGGUAAAGAAGCACCGGCUAACUACGU